UACGGAGGGUGCAAGCGUUAUCCGGAUUCACUGGGUUUAAAGGGUGCGUAGGUGGGUUGGUAAGUCAGUGGUGAAAUCUCCGAGCUUAACUUGGAAACUGCCAUUGAUACUAUCAGUCUUGAAUACCGUGGAGGUCAGCGGAAUAUGUCAUGUAGCGGUGAAAUGCUUAGAUAUGACAUAGAACACCAAUUGCGAAGGCAGCUGACUACGCGAGUAUUGACACUGAUGCACGAAAGCGUGGGGAUCAAACAGG
rnacentral:rRNA from 1 species